CUCACCAUGAACUCCUGUGCCCCUUGAAUGAAUCUCUUCAACUGUGAAGACUGUAACUAUGACCAGUUCAUCUGAGCACCACAGGAGGGUGCAAUACAGAGGAGACUCAGUGUGGAAAGUUUGGGGAAAUGGACCACCAAACAGGAAAUUGACGAUCACCUUUGGUUUUUUUACUUUGGAAAUCUCAGGCCCUGCAUACAAUCUCCAUACUGGAGCAAGAGAAACCAAUCAAAAUGAAAGCAAUCAGAAACAAGUGUUUUAAUUAAGGUUCAUAUUUACACGGAUUUUUUCCAAAGUAUUAUGGAAAUAUAUAAUUCUAUCAAGUCAAAUAUUGCAGGAUCAAUAACCUCUUGUAGACCAAGUUGCAGUUAGUACAAAAUAUAAUACAACCUAUUAAAUCAUUAUUAAUAAGAAAUUCAGCAUCAGCCUUUGAGAUAAGAAAAUAUAGAUAGGUUUGGAGGGCAGAUACUUUGAGAAAGAGCCCUUGAGAAAUUAAGAUCAACUGAUGUGGGGGGAAUGCAAAAAAUAACAGUACACACAGCUGAGUCUACUAAGCUCAGUGCAUUUUUAUGCUACACAGUAAAAAUGUAACAAGUAACACACCUUCAAAGCCGUCAUUGCCAGAGAGGUACUAACUUUAUAAAAAGCUCAACAUUUUAGAUCCUGUGGCACUUGGGGAUUUUCAUUCCCUAUCCAAUUAUUAAAACACAAAUACACUGACAUUUUCUGUAUUGAAGCACUAAUUGUUUAUCAGCUUCAUUUCCUUGGAAACCAUGGCUCUUCUAUUUCACCUUACUACCUAUUAGACUGGAAGACUUCAGUGCAUUCAGUGCAGCCAUGGAAAUCUUAGUUGCUGCCCCCCAUGUCCCAACAGCAGCCGGGGGGGGGGGAUGAUCCUCAGCAUGUUUCUGUGGGAUUCCAAGCCUUUCUAAUCCCUUGACAUGCCCUCAGAUAAAGGGGGGCAUAUGCCACUCCUGGGACUGGUCUACUUGUUUUCCCUCCAUUUAAGACCAAUGGGAUAGAAUAUAUUUCAUGUGGGAGGCAGGACACACUUUCCGCCCUAUUGGCGUGAGCCCAGCAGGGCUGAAGAUUUGUCCUACCAACCAGAGAACUUUGCCUAUCCCAUACCUUCAUUGGGUGCUCCUCAUCAAAUCUCUUCUUUAGAGACUCUUAAGCAUAAAGAGUUCAAAAUUAAUUUGGUACCCAAUGCCAGUAAUAGAAAAUGAAGACUAAAUCCUACAAUAGUUACAUAUAUCUUAUGUACAAAAACACCCAAUUAAGGCUAACUUUUGUGUAGAUACUACACAAGCAAAAUUAUACUUUUGGGGAGCAGUAUUUAUUAAUAGGAAUGCAGUAACUGGUUACAAAUUAUAGCUUCUCACAGAAGAAGCAACCAGUGCACCUGUUUAGAAUGCCAAGGUUUCCUGCCCCCAAGCAGUACAAUGGGCAAACAAGAAGUGGCUUGAAGCAAUUGCUAAACCCUCAUUUCCCCCCACUUUCUUAAGCAAAGAGCCCCAGCAAAUCACUGGAAUUGGAAAAAUGUAUUGUCCAAAGAAAGGAUGCAUUUCUUUUCUUGUUGCUGGUUGAGGGUUUUAAAAAAAGUAUUAUCUUACCAUGUUUAUUUGGGGGGAAAGUUGCUAAUACUCAAUUUGCAAUCAUAACUUCUCACAAACAUGGUACAUUUCCUACUCCUAUGACUUGGUGGGGGUAAUUUCUUCUACCUGAGAUCAGAGAAAGGCAUAUGUUCAUUUGGUGCUUCAAGCCACUGCAGCCUUUCCUGUUUUUGGGGAGAGAGUUGUGGGAGAGAGAUAUUUCGGAUGUCAGACACUCAGAUAUGGUUGUUUGUAAGCAGCUGCAGUGCAUAGCCAGGCUCAUCAAAGUGUAAGCAGGCAUGUUACCUGAGGAACUAAGAAAUCAACUGCAGAGUAUGACAUGCUUUUCAUCGUUGGCUUACAGUAUGUAAGCAUCAGUCACUACAGUGAAAGCAAUGUAAGCUCCGGAAGUUACAAAGAGUGCUUCUGUCUAAAAGCCUUUUUAAGAAACGAAAAUAAAAUGAGAUACUAAGAUAACAGAAGAUAAUAUUUCCCCAGUACAGCCUACAAUAGAAAAUUGUAGGCUACUUUCGCCUCUGCUGUUGCACCAGCAACAAAAACAAUCCCAAACCCUAUUUCAUUUCAUCCUGCAGACAGUCAGCCAUCCUACCUGCAGCUAAGAGUACAGCCCUUGAAAGUUAUGCUCAUGAUUCAAAUCAAAGCACUAUCCAAGCAUCAGAUAAAAAAGUGACACCUCUUCACUCUCAACUAGGAAGUGAAAAAUACCAGGUUUUAGUAUAUGAAUGACUAGAAGUAAGAAUUGUCCAACUUAUGUCACAUUAAAAUAAUGUGCAGAAGGUAAUAAUGUUCUUUCAACAAAUAAAAACCAAGCUAUUUCUCCAAGUGAACUUCAAACCAAGAGAAUAAUCACACUAAGGAACAACUGACUGGUUAUUACAUCUCUAACAUAUGGUGGCUGCAAUCUGAAAACUUUGGUCCUUCUCAUAGUAGGAACUGGCUCCUACUUUCAGAAUAAAACUUAAAAAGCAAAUAGCUGCACUUAUAAGCUGUAGAACAAAGGAUCUAACUCUAAAGUUCCACUUUUAAAAAGGAAGUACCAUAAAACUACUUCAAUGUUUUGACUAGUCCAGGUAACAUAAGCAAAAAUUGAAAGUUGAAAGAGGACAGUGUUUUGAGCUACAUGAGACAGAUCUUAACAAGCUUUGGCCCACAUAGUAUUCUUGCAGACCUAAUGAUUUGCUCUUUCACUGACAACAUCCUGAAGGCGUUUCAGACCUUUAAAAUAUCCCCUUCUAAGUUUCUUUCCAUAUUUCUCCUUUCUUCCCACAGCAUUUAAAAAAAGACAUGUUCGAUAAGUUAAAAAUGGUUUGCUUACAAACUCUUCAAAGGUCAGAUUCAUGUGCUUUUCCAUACAGCAGCAAGAAAACACAAACAGUUUAACUUAGUUUCAAAAAUUGGUAAAUGUUUCUAAAUUAUUUGUAUAGAAAUUAUAAAGAUAACUUGCUAAAAGCACGUGGUCUGGGCUCGCAGCGAUCAGCCUAUACAUUUUUCUGGUUGGAUUCACAUGGUGUUAGAAAUUGAACAAAUACCUUCAAUAACCCCUUCUCCCAAGGUUACGGAUGGAAUGGAUGGAUGGAGAAAGGAAUGAUGACAAUCCUAAACUACUACUUCUCUUUCUCCUCAUUGUACCCUACAAUAGUUCACAACUGGAUCAUAAAUAUUACUGGCAUUGCACUUUUGUUCAGCUUCAGAACACCCGAUGUUUCCUUUUGAAUCCUAUAUAUUUAAAAAUACCAAUUUCCAUUGAUGCAAAAAUACAUUUGGAGAUCUUUCACUUUGGAAACAUUUUUACAAAUCUGUCUAAUGGAACAAGUUAAACCGGCUUUUUUAAGAACAUAAAAAGAUCACUGCUGGAUCAGGACAAAGGUGGUUCUAGUCCAGCAUCCUAUUCUCAUAGUUGACAACCAGAUGCCCAGGGUUCAAAAGCAGUUUUCUGUCAGUUGUUUAAAUAAGGGAGGGAACAGUGAUAAAGACUGGAUACACCUAAAUUCUUGGUUUCUAGCCACAACAUAGCUGAGUCUGUAUGGACAUGUACACCAGACAAUUCUGCCCAGAUUUUUAGGAAACAGAAAUGUAGGGAAAACGAAAACGAAACUCAAAGUACUGCCCUGGGAAAGAGAUAAUACCAGAAUUACUUGAAGAAUUAAACUUUCAUUCAAUGUUAGUCAUCAAAGUUGAGAGGUGUUAUGUUUCCAAGGGGUUGCUCGAGAGCAAGCAGGCAAAUACCUCCCUGCUCGGCUGUGAAGCCUUGCUUUUGCUGCAAAAAUAAACUUUAUCUGUCCGGAGUACCACUCUCCCGUGGCUGACUCAUUCACUGGCAGAAUCCGUGAGUGGGCAGUUCUUAAACUUUCCCCAGCAAAGCAAUUUCUUGACGCCCAGUCUGUGCCUCCCCUCUCUGCACGGAGGGCGUGGGUAACGGAGGACCCCUCUCCUCCCCGCUUUGCCCAGGCAAGGUGUCCUGGCACCGCCUCGCCUCCUCCAAGCCCUGCAGCUCCUCUCCACUGGAGGCGUGGUUACUCACCUCCAUUGAAGAGCUGCUUCCCACGAUCCUUGGAGGCUCUCUAUAAUCCAUUCAGCUUUUCCUCUCUCCCUCCUGAACCGAUGGCAGUUCCCUGAGAGGAGGGAUAAAUUGCCUCCACCCAGCCCCAUGAUUUACCAUACUUGAUUACUGCUUUUCUUACAGAUUUCAUGGGCUCCAAAAAACAGAACCACACCUGAAAGAAGUGCUGCUGAAAUUCCAAAAUAUUUCCAACAUAAAUACAAAACAGACUGAGGCAAUGGAUCCAAGGCAAGAGGUGGAGCCAGGGUGGGGAGAGGUUUAAAGGUUGGGAACAACUUGGGUGGAUUGACUGGUAUGGCCAUACAGAUGGAUGGGUCAAAGUAAUAUAUUCAGGAGCCUUGACAAGAGACACUGCAAGUAGAUUGUAAUGUAAAUAAUUCAGAAUCAAAUGUACUGCUAUAUACUUUUGGGGCCAGGGUCUGUGCAAGUCACCCAUAAAUCCUGGAAUUAGUAAAAAUUAGAAACAAUCAAGGUUUGAUUAAACUGUGCCAAACACACACAAAACCUGCUAGAUUUGGUUUAGGAGCCAGGCCAGCUCAGCAGAGCUAGCUGGAUGGUGGCCAUUGGAAGAACAUUAGCUGAUGAUGGCCAGACAUUGACCCAUCAAGGAAGCCAUCAAGAGAGUGAAGAUGUACCAGACAAGGAGGGGUGCAGCCCUUCAUCUAGCUGUGGCCAGAAACCAAAGGGGUUUAGGAAUUCAGGAUGGGUGACAUAGGCUGGGAGGGAAACAGUACAGAGUUAGAUUAUUAAAUUCACUCUCACAUGAGAGAGUGAUGGCUACCAACUUGGAUGACAUUAAAAGAUUAAACCGAUUCAUAGCAGGUUAAGACUAUCAUUGGCUACUAUCCAUGAUGGCUACGUUCUUAUCUCCACUGUUGGAGGUACCAUGUCUCCAUACCAGUUGCUGGAAAUCACAAGUGGGCAGAGUGCUGUUACUACCAGGUCCUGGCUCUGGGCAUGCCAUAGCCAUUUGGUGGCCAUUAUGAGGAUGCUGGACCAGAUGAGCCUUUAGUGUGAUCCAGCAGGGCUGAUUUUAUGCAGGGGUGAAGAGAGGGGAGAUGUCCCGCAGCAGAAGCAGAUCUCUGUGCAAUGUUGUUUUCAGUAAUGUUACAUUCAGAUGGUGAUCCAGGAAGCUCAUUGCCAAAUGGCUAGGUUGCCUUAUAUCCUGUACAAAAGAUUUCAUAUUGCAGAACAGUAUUUCAAAAUCUUGUGAAUUAAGCAAAAAAGGGUGAUGCAAGGACACACACACCAGCUCGUUCCCAAGAAGGUUCCCAUGCAUUUCACAACGCUGAAAAAUACUGCAUUGCUGACUCAUGUUUAGCAUGUUGUCUACUAAGAUCCUAUAUAUUUUUCAUAUACAAUACAGCUGUUGAGCCAUGAAGUACUCAUCCUAUAUUUCAUCUGAUUCUUCAGACCUAAAUGCAGAACUUUUGUCUGUUUUGAAAUUCAUUUUGUUUGUUUUGAUUUAGUUCUCCGUUCUUUCAAUAUAAUCCUGAAUAUUGCUUCUGUCUUCUAAGGCAUUUGCUACUCUGCCCAAUUUGCAUUGAGUCAUUUGCAGAUACAAUGAGCAUCUCCACCACUCCUUUGUCUUAGUUAGGUGUCAACACACAUUUUGGUCCCGUGGAGGCAAGUAGAAUUUUGAAUGUCAUGAGCACCACCCUCUUCAAUAGCACCCUCUCUCUCCACUCUGCUGGGUCACUCCACACCCUCAAUACAGAAAUUCUGCAAGCACUCACCAUGAACUCCUGUGCCCCUUGAAUGAAUCUCUUCAACUGUGAAGACUGUAACUAUGACCAGUUCAUCUGAGCACCACAGGAGGGUGCAAUACAGAGGAGACUCAGUGUGGAAAGUUUGGGGAAAUGGACCACCAAACAGGAAAUUGACGAUCACCUUUGGUUUUUUUACUUUGGAAAUCUCAGGCCCUGCAUACAAUCUCCAUACUGGAGCAAGAGAAACCAAUCAAAAUGAAAGCAAUCAGAAACAAGUGUUUUAAUUAAGGUUCAUAUUUACAUGGAUUUUUUCCAAAGUAUUAUGGAAAUAUAUAAUUCUAUCAAGUCAAAUAUUGCAGGAUCAAUAACCUCUUGUAGACCAAGUUGCAGUUAGUACAAAAUAUAAUACAACCUAUUAAAUCAUUAUUAAUAAGAAAUUCAGCAUCAGCCUUUGAGAUAAGAAAAUAUAGAUAGGUUUGGAGGGCAGAUACUUUGAGAAAGAGCCCUUGAGAAAUUAAGAUCAACUGAUGUGGGGGGAAUGCAAAAAAUAACAGUACACAUAGCUGAGUCUACUAAGCUCAGUGCAUUUUUAUGCUACACGGUAAAAAUGUAACAAGUAACACGCCUUCAAAGCCGUCAUUGUCACAGAGGUACUAACUUUAUAAAAAGCUCAACAUUUUAGAUCCUGUGGCACUUGGGGAUUUUCAUUCCCUAUCCAAUUAUUAAAACACAAAUACACUGACAUUUUCUGUACUGAAGCACUAAUUGUUUAUCAGCUUCAUUUCCUUGGAAACCAUGGCUCUUCUAUUUCACCUUACUACCUAUUAGACUGGAAGACUUCAGUGCAUUCAGUGCAGCCAUGGAAAUCUUAGUUGCUGCCCCCCAUGUCCCAACAGCAGCUGGGGGGGGGGUGAUCCUCAGCAUGUUUCUGUGGGAUUCCAAGCCUUUCUAAUCCCUUGACAUGCCCUCAGAUAAAGGGGGACAUAUGCCACUCCUGGGACUGGUCUACUUGUUUUCCCUCCAUUUAAGACCAAUGGGAUAGAAUAUAUUUCAUGUGGGAGGCAGGACACACUUUCCGCCCUAUUGGCGUGAGCCCAGCAGGGCUGAAGAUUUGUCCUACCAACCAGAGAACUUUGCCUAUCCCAUACCUUCAUUGGGUACUCCUCAUCAAAUCUCUUCUUUAGAGACUCUUAAGCAUAAAGAGUUCAAAAUUAAUUUGGUACCCAAUGCCAGUAACAGAAAAUGAAGACUAAAUCCUACAAUAGUUACAUAUAUCUUAUGUACAAAAGCACCCAGUUAAGGCUAACUUUUGUGUAGAUACUACACAAGCGAAAUUAUACUUUUGGGGGACAGUAUUUAUUAAUAGGAAUGUAGUAACACUGGCUACAAAUUAUAGCUUCUCACGGAAGAAGCAACCAGUGCGCAUGUUUAGAAUGCCCCCAAGCAGUACAAUGGGCAAACAAGAAGUGGCAUGAAGCAAUUGCUAAAUCCUCAUUUCCCCCCACUUUCUUAAGCAAAAGGAGCCCCAGCAAAUCACAGGAAUUGGAAAAAUGUAUUGUCCAAAGAAAGGAUGCAUUUCUUUUCUUGUUGCUGGUUGAGGGUUUUAAAAAAAGUAUUAUCUUACCAUGUUUAUUUGGGGGGAAAGUUGCUAAUACUCAAUUUGCAAUCAUAACUUCUCACAAACAUGGUACAUUUCCUACUCCUAUGACUUGGUGGGGGUAAUUUCUUCUACCUGAGAUCAGAGAAAGGCAUAUGUUCAUUUGGUGCUUCAAGCCACUGCAGCCUUUCCUGUUUUUGGGGAGAGAGUUGUGGGAGAGAGAUAUUUCGGAUGUCAGACACUCAGAUAUGGUUGUUUGUAAGCAGCUGCAGUGCAUAGCCAGGCUCAUCAAAGUGUAAGCAGGCAUGUUACCUGAGGAACUAAGAAAUCAACUGCAGAGUAUGACAUGCUUUUCAUCGUUGGCUUACAGUAUGUAAGCAUCAGUCACUACAGUGAAAGCAAUGUAAGCUCCGGAAGUUACAAAGAGUGCUUCUGUCUAAAAGCCUUUUUAAGAAACGAAAAUAAAAUGAGAUACUAAGAUAACAGAAGAUAAUAUUUCCCCAGUACAGCCUACAAUAGAAAAUUGUAGGCUACUUUCGCCUCUGCUGUUGCACCAGCAACAAAAACAAUCCCAAACCCUAUUUCAUUUCAUCCUGCAGACAGUCAGCCAUCCUACCUGCAGCUAAGAGUACAGCCCUUGAAAGUUAUGCUCAUGAUUCAAAUCAAAGCACUAUCCAAGCAUCAGAUAAAAAAGUGACACCUCUUCACUCUCAACUAGGAAGUGAAAAAUACCAGGUUUUAGUAUAUGAAUGACUAGAAGUAAGAAUUGUCCAACUUAUGUCUCAUUAAAAUAAUGUGCAGAAGGUAAUAAUGUUCUUUCAACAAAUAAAAACCAAGCUAUUUCUCGAAGUGAACUUCAAACCAAGAGAAUAAUCACACUAAGGAACAACUGACUGGUUAUUACAUCUCUAACAUAUGGUGGCUGCAAUCUGAAAACUUUGGUCCUUCUCAUAGUAGGAACUGGCUCCUACUUUCAGAAUAAAACUUAAAAGCAAAUAGCUGCACUUAUAAGCUGUAGAACAAAGGAUCUAACUCUAAAGUUCCACUUUUAAAAAGGAAGUACCAUAAAACUACUUCAAUGUUUUGACUAGUCCAGGUAACAUAAGCAAAAAUUGAAAGUUGAAAGAGGACAGUGUUUUGAGCUACAUGAGACAGAUCUUAACAAGCUUUGGCCCACAUAGUAUUCUUGCAGACCUAAUGAUUUGCUCUUUCACUGACAACAUCCUGAAG
rnacentral:lncRNA from 1 species